UAUAUUUACUUGCCUUAUCAGCAACACAUCCUCCUAAUGUUAAAAAAACCCAAAUGUAAUCUGAUCACAUUUAUAUUUCCUGUCGAAGGUAUUUGCAGUUUAAUUCAUUUCGAAAAUGUCACAUUCAGGAGACAGAGCUUGACGUUCCCAUGUUGUGUUGAUCCAGACAUUCAAGCCCGACCCUCAUUCCUCUAUAGCCAGAAUCAGAAAAGAACUUUUUUUUUUACAGUGUAACAGUUUUGCUUCUUUCAGUCUCCACCUGAAGGAAACCAACAGAUAGGACCAAGUGCCUUUGAGGCCCCUGCUUCCCAAGAGAUGACAGACGUCCCUCUGCCUACUGGCCCGAGCUGUAGUUUUAAAUCACGGUGUCACUCUGAGCACAGGGAUGGACGUGCAGAAGAGAAUCGUCGGAGGUAACGAAUGUGAGCGUCACUACCAUGUCCACCUGAGGAUAGUUUUUGCUGAUGGAAAGAGCUCCUUUUGUGGCGGCUCUCUGAUCAGUGACCAGUGGAUUGUGACUGCUGCUCACUGUCACGAGGACGGGCUUGUGGGACUUCACUGCAUGCAAACGACAAGAAUAGAAGCCACUGGUCCCAGUCUGACCCAGAUUCAUUCACGGACUUCCUCGGCAUUGGUUUUGGGUGUCUUAUUGGAGCGCUCCACAAGGC